rnacentral:rRNA from 1 species
UGGGGGGAUAUUACACAAUGGAGGAAACUCUGAUGCAGCAACACCGCGUGAGGGAAGAAGGUUUUCGGAUUGUAAACCUCUGUUUUUGGUGAAGAAAGAAAUGACGGUAGCCGAAGAGGAAGCCACGGCUAACUACGUGCCAGCAGCCGCGGUAAUACGUAGGUGGCAAGCGUUGUCCGGAAUUACUGGGUGUAAAGGGUGCGCAGGCGGGACUGCAAGUUGGAUGUGAAGUACCGGGGCUCAACCCCGGAGCUGCAUCCAAAACUAUGGUUCUUGAGUGAAGUAGAGGUAAGCGGAAUUCCGAGUGUAGCGGUGAAAUGCGUAGAUAUUCGGAGGAACACCAGUGGCGAAGGCGGCUUACUGGGCUUUAACUGACGCUGAGGCACGAAAGCAUGGGGAGCAAACAGGAUUAGAUACCCUGGUAGU